AAAAGACAAGACCAAGAAAGCAGUAGUCCACAACAUUGUUGGACUUGAUCCUACCAAGCAGUUUUUACUAUACAUAGCAACCGGUGCUGAAAUUGAGAAAGACUAUAAAAUUCAGAAAAGCAUCCUUCGUGCAGUUGGUCAGAUGGAUUUACGAGCCGAUCUCAUGGAUGCAUAUAUGUAUGCGUUUAAAAGAUCUGCUUUGCAAGAGGUUCUAGAUCAAAAGGAUACUUUCCGAAGCCUAAGGCAAGAUGUGUUGCCCUAUCUUGUGCGAAGCCAGUUGAGGUCAGAAGUUUUAUCGAAUGGAACACCCCGAACAGAAGAAAAUGGGAUUGAGAAAGUUGGUUCCCAUAAGAUUCAAGUA
rnacentral:misc_RNA from 1 species